rnacentral:rRNA from 1 species
AUUGCACGCUGGCGGCAGGCCUAACACAUGCAAGUCGAGCUGAGCGGCGGACGGGUGAGUAAUGCCUAGGAAUCUGCUUUGUAGUCGGGGAUAAAGUCCGGAAACGGGCGCUAAUCCCGCAUACUAUCAGAUGAGCCUAGGUCGGAUUAGCUAGUUGGUGGGGUAAAGGCCUCCCAAGGCGACGAUCCGUAACUGGGCUGAGAGGAUGAUCAGUCACCAUGGAACUGAGACACGGUCCAGACUCCUACGGAAGGCAGCGGUGGGGAAUAUUGGACAAUGGGCGAAAGCCUGAUCCAGCCAGGCCGCGUGUGUGAAGAAGGUCUUCGGAUUGUAAAGCACUUUAAGUUGGGAGGCGUUACCAACAGAAUAAGAAACGGCGAACUUCGUGCCAGCCGCCGCGGUAAUUC